AAUCCAAGGUCACCCUGUCAUUAUAUUGAAGCAGUCAAAGAAGCAGCAGACUGUCCCACACCAGGAGCACCAAGUGGACCUGGUAACCCAGGCGGCCCGUUACUUCCCUGGGGAACAAGAUAUACAGUAAUCAAAGGGCCAGCUCUGCAUCAGAUGAGAUGUGGAUGAGGACACAGGGUCUCAAGAGGAUAUAACACUUUUAAAAGGGCUGCUCUGCCCAUCAAGCAAAACAAUGAUUUGAGGAAGAUUUUAUCACUACAG